rnacentral:rRNA from 1 species
AUCAGUCGUCCUAAUGGCAUCAACAUCCCUGAUGGCAAGUUCUACCUAGGAGAUGUUGGUUAUGCAUGUCGGCCAGGUGUUCUUCCACCCUUCAGGGAAACCAGGUACCAUCUGAACGAGUUCUCUGGCAGGAACUAUCCUAGGACUGCUCAAGAACUGUUCAAUCUCAGACACUCUGGCCUUAGAGUAACAGUUGAGAGGGCAUUUGGAGCUCUGAAUAAUAGGUUUAAGAUCAUGGAUCGGAAGCCAUUCCACCGUGAUGCUACCCAGGUCAAACUUGUUCUUGCAUGUUGCAUUUUGCAUAACUGGAUCCUACAAUGGGGAAUUGAUGAACUUGUGCCCCAGGAGGAAGAGGUGACGCCUGAUGAUCUUAACCUCGGUGACCAUGGUGUUGAGGCAUUUGACAACGACGCCUGAAAGAACAAAAGGCUGGAGUGGGCAUAAGCAAUGUGGGAUAAUAGAGGUCAGACAAGGAUCUGA